GGGUAUGUAAUUCAGUGGUAGAAUGCACGGCUCAUAUCCGCGUCGUCGGUGGUCCAAUUCCAUCCAUACCCA
rnacentral:tRNA from 1 species